rnacentral:misc_RNA from 1 species
GGUGAUCUCAGAGUGGUUCGAUAGUAAGUUCACCGUAGUCUUAUCAUUUUAUCACAGUCGUUUCAUAGUUAUCUUACAACAGUUUCACCAUAAAUUCAUAGUAAUUUGAUAGUAAUUCCAUAGUGAUACUGCAGUCAGCUUAGAGUGACACCACUGUUUUCUUAGGUGACGGGGAGUGGGUUGAGAGGGUAUUUUAUGAUGCCUUAAUGGGUGCCAAAAUACCCCAGUUCUUGGAUACAGCAGCAGACCACAUAUUUGGACAGAAUGUAUUAUUGAAAAGCACAAUCACAGGAAAACCUUCUAAUAGAUCAAAAAAUAUUCAAGUGGAGAAACCAGAACAGUUAGAUGCUCAUUUAAUGCAGCGUAUGAGAGAUUCAAUUUAUUUUCUGAUGUCUACCUUUUUCGUAGUGACUCUUCUUUUUCGCUUUUCCUUUCUUCCUUGCAGCCAUCGACUCAAGCUUUUUUACUCUUUUCCGUUUCCUAGCGUACUUCUACUUCUUCUAAAGUCAGCCAUUUUCAAGCACUGGCUGUAUACGUCAGUUCAUGCCUGCUUUUUAUCAACAGUAAAACGAGAUUACCAUUUAGGUAGGCUCGAGUACUAUCUUGGUAGACGCAUAGCUUCAAUAAAAAACAACGUAAAUGGGUACCAGAAAAGGAAGUCCGGCUCAAAACAGAAAGACGUAUUGAAGAGGAUUUAAUUCUCCAUCACUAUAAUUUAUAUAUGAAUCUGUUUUAGCUUGGGGAGCUUUGAAUAGCGUAAAAAUUCUAUGUUUGAGCUUGAAAA